CCACCUGGGAGUCCAUUCUUUUUCUUAUUUUCAUUUAGAAUGUAGACAGCCCUGAUUAAAGGUCCCUAUGAGACACCAUUCAAAUCAAUACUAUUCUUCUCCACCCUAAUUAAUCACAAGUGGAGUGCUACUUAGUAAUCACUGAAAAAUAAUUAUGGAAGUCCAUAAAUUAUCCAACUUAGCUGGCAACACUGCUGAAACACAAAGUUUUUCUUCUUACCUUUUUUUUGUUCCUUUGCUCCAUUGUCCUGAGUAAUUGUAGCAGAAAAGAAAACAUUGUUUUUUCCCAAAGAGUUUUCUUCUACGCAGAGCUCCUUACCUCAAAUUUAACUCAGAGGAGCCAAACAGCUACGGUCCCUCUGAGGGCCUUUAUACCCGGUGGGAUUUGCCGCCUCCCCUUUCCCAGGCAUCGUGGGAAAAAGAGGAGGGCCCAAUUAGGGGUAUAUUAACCCCAGGCUGUGCUAAGGGGCAUUAUUCCUUCCAGGGGAAUCAGCAGGGGAGAAUUUCCAGAAGUUCUAGGUCACAUCAAGUGCGAUACUUCAGAUUCUCUCAGCAGAUUCAUCGUAACACAAAAGGGAACCGCCCCCGCGGCAGCUUUCCUUAGCAGCGGAUCGUCCCCUCGCACAGAUUCUCUUCAGAGAGAUAAGACGAGGGCUGUGGUCACAGAGGGGAUAAAAACAGGGCGGUGGGGUAGGAUUCACACCGGUUAGGGGUUUUGAGUCAGCUAUGCGGGGGGGAAGGUUUGAGAAAUGGCCUCUGGGGCCACAGUGCGGGAAAGGCUCACUUUAGCUAACAAUGCUGAGGCGGGCAGGGCAGAGCAGUCCCAGGGUGUGUUGUCACUUGUCUCUUGUGCUUUCUGUAUCUUCUGUACAUCUCAUGUAACAUAUCUCUUGUCUUAGCCCUCCCAGGAGCUUAUAAGAAACCCCAGGUCCUUCCGUUCAUCUCCCAUCUUUGCGUUCCUCGGCCCGGCACCGGCGAAGCUUCUAUGCGGGAGUUCGGACAGGCGUCAGAAUCGCAUCUGUCUUUAGAAGCAUGCGAUCGGAUGUUUUCUUAGGUCUCGUUCUCAGCUGUGUCAACAGCUAUAUGCAGCAGUGCUUCUUUACAGGGGGUAAGGACUUGUGCCGAUUCAAAGGCAGGCAGAGGCUUCCAGCCACAGGAUUCUCGGGCAUCCGUCUCUGCGGUUCUUGGAAAAUAGUUGUUCCGUUAGCAUCUUUUUCCUCCAGGGUCAUCCGAGCCCGGCAGGCUCGCCUGGGGUCCCUCCUCGGUCAUCUCGUUCAGCAUUCUCUCGGUCCUCGUGAGGACUUUCUUGUCUCAGAGAGUUUUCUCUCCCUGUCACGUCCCCUUGUCUCACGGGUGUCUGGGGGUAUUUGGUCCGGAGCUGCUCUGCCCUGGCGCCCAGCCUGGUUGUAGGUGUUUAAGGACAAGUCCCGGGCACUUGUAAUUGGAGAUUUGUAAUACGGGCUGUAGUUGGAGUCUAGCUGGUAUUCUUAUGUUGGCAGCAGGUGUCUGGAGCUGUGAAGUUACCCUGCAGCACUUUGACUUUUUUCCUAACUUUCUUUCAGAUGCAGACGGAUUGACCUCGUGGCAGAGCGCUGCAUCCCAGAUGAGGGGGUCCCCCUGAGAAGGAAGUAAAGCUGGAAAGCAGCGGGGAAGGUGAAGCAGGUGGAAGGCUGCCUCCUGAUGCUGUGCUGAGGCCCCCUCACUGACCUGCCAAGAGACCCGGUUUGCUCCUCUGGUGAGCCCCAGCAAAUAUUACCGGAGUCCAUGACGAAGCCUCGACCUCGUCCACGUGUCGGCGUACCCUGCGACGACGGCAUCCGCCUAGGAGCGUGGCCGGAGGACCCGGGAGUUCCUAAGAGACGGUGAUGAUACUUGUCUGAGACAACAGCCUGGUGAGAGAAGAACUUCCCAGACAGCGAGGUGGCUUUGUUUGGCUCCCGACCGGCCUCUCGCUGUGACUCACAUCUUCAGCCCUCUGAGAGAUAAGUGGAGCCCGCAGAGGGGAUCAAAGCAGGGCGGUGGGUCGGGACUCGGAUCGGUUUGGGUUUUUGAGUGAGCUUUGGGGAUGGGGAGGUUCUGGAAAUGACCCCAUAGGCCCCAGUGAGGGAAAGCCUCACUUUGGUUUGCAAUGCUGAGGCGAACAGGGCAGAGCAGUCCCAGGGUGUGUUGUCACUUGUCUCUCAUGCCUUCUUUGUCUUCUGUGCAUCUCGUGUAACAUGUCUCUUGCCUUAGCCCUCCCAGGAGCUUAUGAGAAACCCCAGGUCCUUCCGUUCAUCUCCCAUCUUUGCGUUCCUCGGCCCGGCGCCGGCGAAGCUUCGAUGCGGGAGGUCGGACAGGCGUCAGAAUCGCAUCUGUCUUUAGAAGCAUGCGAUCGGAUGUUUUCUUAGGUCUCGUUCUCAGCUGUGUCAACAGCUAUAUGCAGCAGUGUUUCUUUACAGUGGAUAAGGACUUGUGCCGAUUCAAAGGCAGGCAGAGGCUUCCAGCCACAGGAUUCUCAGGCAUCUGUCUCUGCGGUUCUUGGAAAAUAGUUGUUCCAUUAGCAUCUUUUUCCUCCAGGGCCAUCCGAGCCCGGCAGGCUCGCCUGGGGUCCCUCCUCGGUCAUCUCGUUCAGCAUUCUCUCGGUCCUUGUGAGGACUUUCUUGUCUCAGAGAGUUUUCUCUCCCUGUCACGUCCCCUCGUCUCACGUGUCACGGGUGUCUGGGGGUAUUUGGUCCGGAGCUGCUCUGCCCUGGCGCCCAGCCUGGUUGUAGGUGUUUAAGGACAAGUCCCGGGCACUUGUAAUUGGAGAUUUGUAAUACGGGCUGUAGUUGGAGUCUAGCUGGUAUUCUUAUGUUGGCAGCAGGUGUC